rnacentral:rRNA from 1 species
GAUGAACGCUGGCGGCGUGCCUAAUACAUGCAAGUCGAGCGAACAGAUGAGGAGCUUGCUCCACUGACGUUAGCGGCGGACGGGUGAGUAACACGUGGAUAACCUACCUAUAAGACUGGGAUAACUUCGGGAAACCGGAGCUAAUACCGGAUAAUAUAUUGAACCGCAUGGUUCAAUAGUGAAAGACGGUUUUGCUGUCACUUAUAGAUGGAUCCGCGCCGCAUUAGCUAGUUGGUAAGGUAACGGCUUACCAAGGCAACGAUGCGUAGCCGACCUGAGAGGGUGAUCGGCCACACUGGAACGGAGACACGGUCCAGACUCCUACGGGAGGCAGCAGUAGGGAAUCUUCCGCAAUGGGCGAAAGCCUGACGGAGCAACGCCGCGUGAGUGAUGAAGGUCUUCGGAUCGUAAAACUCUGUUAUUAGGGAAGAACAAAUGUGUAAGUAACUAUGCACGUCUUGACGGUACCUAAUCAGAAAGCCACGGCUAACUACGUG